UGACUGUGAAGUGCUGUCCCAAGGGCUGUACAAGUUCACCCUCGAGCCGCCUUUGCUACCCAUUUCCUCACACUGCCGGCCCACCACACAUGCUCUGCGAAUGACGUGUUUCUCUGUAUGCAUACCACCUUUGUCUGCAUCUCUGGAAGGCAAAAAGAGAAGCCUCCACCACACUGCUUCAACCCAUUUUCAGCCUGCAAAGGCUCUUCUGGAAGCAACUUUACCCUAAAUUAAGGUAUUCAUGCCUGACUCAUGCUUCCUGAGUUGAAGCCCAAAGAGUCCUGCUGCCCAGCUGUAGCUGACUCAUGGCUGGUCCAGAGCUGCUACAGAAAGGACUUGGGUGCACUGUCAACUUGCAGCGAGGAGACAGGCACCUGUGCUUCCUGGGAAAACUGCCUACAAUGUGCCUGGCCCCAGGUACCCCACCACAUUUCAGUGGUGUAAUGACCCCGUGGGAAGUGAAGCCUUUUCCUAGAAAGGAGGAGAAUGAGGCUCAGAGAGGACGGAGCAGAGAUAACUUCAGAGCCCAAUCUCCCAGCACUAAGCUACUCACUUUCCCUCAGCACCACCGCUGAGGACUGCCAUGUUUUUGUUCAUUCUUCCAACCAGCAUUUAUAUUUUUUAGAGUUUGUUUGUUUGUUUGUUUUGUACCGGGGAUUGAACUCAUGACCUCACACUUGCCAGGCAAGUGCUUGUGUGACUGAGCUAAAUCCUCAGCCCUAUAUUUUUUAUUUUAAAGAAAAAAAAUAAAAACAAUGGUAUGAAAUUUCAAAAUAA